AAUUCACAGGAAUAAUCCCAACUAUUGAACAUCUUCCAUAAUUAAUCCCAACUAUGGGUUAUUCCUGUAUAAUCCAAUUUAUAACCUCAUUAAUCCAAAAAUACUCCCCACUAACCAGGAACUUGUUUAUCCGGUAAACUUCUCCUUCCCUCCAAAACUAGGAAGAGAGUUAAUGAAGGUAGUUAAUAGCGUGUCUUUUUCACAACCACCAUGAAAGUUCUGCAAAUCUUCUUCUUCUUCAACACAGCAAGGUGAAUUUUGAAUUUCGCAAAUCUUCUUCUUCUGCAAAAUCUACUGAAGGUUCUACCAUUGUAGGUAAGUAAAGUGUUGAAUUUUGAAUUUCGCCAUUAAUGUCAAUUUUUUUUCUUCAUAAAGUUUUGAACUUUGAUCAAUUUCGUGCAUGUAAACUCUCUGAAUUUUGUUGUUUUUAAUUGUUAAAUUUGGUGUGUUGUUUAAUUUAUAGGUUUAGUUGAUUCCUAUGGAUACAAUUGUUUGUAUAAGAAUGUGGCAUGGUGGUCAGUUUAAGAAGAAUAAAUACGGAAACCUAGAUUUUGUGGGAGGGGAUGCCAGGACUUUUCAGGUGGAUGCAGAUGAACUCUGUUGGUUUUAUUUAGAGGAAUUGGCUAACAAGUGUGGCAAAUACUCUAGCAUUUCUGAGAUAUAUUAUUUGACCCCCCAUUGUAAGUCAUUUGAGCAGGGUUUGAAAAGGGUGUACAAUGACUCAGAGGUUAGGAUAAUGACAGAACUUGUGCUUAAAAAUAGGUUUAUUGAUUGCUAUGUAGUUCAUGGGGUAGACACAGCAGAGGUAGUUCUUGAAAUUGAAGGAGGAGAGACACAAAGCCAAACUAAGGUCUCAAAUGUAAGUGAAGGAGGGAGUACUAGACCCAAAAAACUUACCCCUAUUAGAGGAGGGAAGAAGGGGCAUAAAAGUCCAGUGGUCCCAGAAACCCAAAAAGCUACCCCACUACCAGAACCAGUCAGCAACUCAGGGGGAACCCUUCACUUUACCCAAGCAGAAUCUACAGCUACACAACAAAAUGAACCUCAUCUCACUCAUGUUGACUCACCUACCCUAGAUAACACCUUCACAGAAACUAUAUUAAAUGCUAGUAAUCAAUCUGAAACUGAACAAAGACAACAACCAGAAGCUGAAGGUAGCCAUCAGCCUCUUAGUGAACUAAUCCAACAACCUGAAACUCAACAAAGCCAAAUAAAUCAGUACACUGAAAAUCUUGAAGAAGGGUAUGAGACUGAUUAUGAUGAGCAUCCAGAUGAUUCUGAAUUUAUCCCUGAUGAUGUGGACACAUCUGAUGUUGAGACAGAAGUAGAAGAGGAAGAUUUUGAGGGAUUAAGUGAUGAAGGUGAGGAAGAUAUUGCUGGUGAAGGUGAGGAAUAUGUUGAGGGAUUAGAGGUAGGAUCUGAUGGAGGGACUGAUGAUGAGGAAUGGAGGGUGGCCAAGGAUAGCCUCAGGAGUUGGAACAGUAGGAUAGUUGGGAUUGCAAGAGAUCUGCAAAAGGAGGCUGCAUCAGGUAAGCUUACUGGACAGCAGAAGCAGCAAAGGGUGAGCCAAGUGGAGUUGAAGAAACCAACAAUGAAUUCCUUAGUGAAUAUGAAGACACUGAUGAAGAGGCAAAUACGCCAGGUUCAAGUGAUGAGGACAACAUAAGUAGCAGAAAAAGGAGGGCUAGGGUUCAAGUUGUGGAUGAUAACACUGACUUCAACACUUUGCAGUGGAAGGUUGGCAUUAGGUUUCAAAAUAGAGAUAAGUUCAGGGAUGCCAUUGUGAGGUUUGCAGUUGCACAAGGAAGAAACUUGUUUAUUGCAGUGAGUGACAAAAAAAGAGGACAGAGGCUAGGAGCAAAGUGUGGCAAAGGUUGUCCUUUUAGGAUCUAUGCAAGUUGGGACAACAGUAAAGCAUGCUUUGUAGUUAAGUCAGUGAAAUCUGAGCAUACUUGUAAUAGAACCAUGGAAGCAAAUAGGCAAUUGAAAGCUUCUUAGGUGGCAGAGCAGUUUCUUGAAGUGUUUAAGAGCAGACCCCAUUGGCCUGCAAAGGAUAUAAUUGAAACAGUAAGAAGGGCUUACAAGAUUCUUGUGAAGAAGAAUUGGGCCUACAAAGUGAAGUAUUUAGCUCACAAAAAGCUUCAUGGCAGCAUGAAAGAUCACUAUAACAAACUGGGAAGGUACUUAGAAGCACUGAAACAAGCUUCACCUAACAGUUGCUUUAAGUUGGAAACUGAUCCAACUAGGGGAGUUAAUCCUCCUGUAUUUCAAAGAUUUUUUGUAUGUUUUGAAGGUGUAAAAGAUGGUUGGCUUGCUGGGUGUAGAAAGGUAUUGUGUGUAGAUGGUUGCUUCUUGAAAACCUUCUUAGGAGGCAUGUUACUAUCUGCAGUAGGUCGUGAUGCUAAUGACCAAAUGUAUCCUCUAGCCUGGGCAGUUUGUGAAGGGGAAAAUAAUGAUAGUUGGCAAUGGUUCAUCACUGAGCUAAGAAAAGUGAUUGGAAGCAUUGAUGGUGAAGGCAUUACAAUAAUUUCUGAUGAACAUCAGGGAAUACUCAAUGCAGGCAUAGUGUCCUACCUAAAGCAGAACAUAGGCACUGUGCACGCCAUAUCUUUGCACUAUGGCACAAGAAUUACAAAGGUGAGGAGUUCAAGUUUAUGUUUUGGAAAGCUGUUUGGGCCUACAAUGAGGUAGAUUACCAGGAUGCACUGGAGGAGAUGGGGAAAGUAAGUCCAAGUGCAGUUGAAGCUUUCAAAGGGUAUGAUCCAAGGUGCUUUUGUAGAGCAUUUACAAAUACAGUGACCAAGUGUGAUGUUGUUGUGAGCAAUAUGGCAGAAACCUUUAAUGGUUAUAUACUUGGUGCAAGGACAAAACACUUGAUAUUCAUGCUUGAAGACAUCAGGACAUCACUAAUGCAAAGACUAAUAGCUAAGAGAGAAGAGUUGGAGAAGUACAAAGGGAGUAUUUGCCCUAGAAUUCAAGCAAAACUGGAAAAAGAGAAGGAUUGGGCAGCUUCUUGUAAUGUGAUGCCUUCUAGCAAAAUGGUAUUUCAGGUGUCCCAUAGGUUAGACACUCUGACAGUUGAUCUAACAAGGAGAGUGUGUACAUGUAGAAAAUGGGAAUUAACUGGAAUUCCAUGCUGCCAUGCUGUGGCUUGCAUCUUUUUUUUGCACCAAGAAGCUGAGAGUUAUGUGCAUGAAUGGUACAAGAAGGAAACACACUUGCUUUCAUAUUCAUCUGCCAUUCCCCCAUGUGUUGGGGAAAGGCACUGGCCAAGAGUUGAAUUGCUAAUUGAUCCACCUCCAAUUAAGGUUGGUCCAGGUAGACCAAGGAAGAACAGAAGAAAGGAUCCACAUGAAGAUCCAAAGAAACCUGGAAAGUUAACCAAGCAUGGGACUCAGAUGACUUGUAGCUUGUGCCAAUCAACACAACA